GCGAGGAUGGCGGAAUUGGUAGACGCGCUAGCUUCAGGUGUUAGUGUUCUUACGGAUGUGGGGGUUCAAGUCCCCCUCUUCGCACCA
rnacentral:tRNA from 1 species